rnacentral:miRNA from 1 species
AACCUCAUCAACCAGAAGGGAUUCCUUCCGGUCGAUGAGGUAUAACAACCUCAUUGACCUGAAGGAAAUCCUUCUGGUCGAUGAGGUA